AAAGCCGCAGCGGGGUAAACAAGGAGCGUGGACGCGUGCAAGCUCCAAAUGGCCCAGGGAGAGAUUUGGCAAGCAGACCCAAGAAAAGCUCAGAAAAACGAGGGCAAGUCAAGGGAGAAGAAAUGAAGGUGGAGAAAAAGAAUCCCAAAGAAGGAAAGAACAUGCAAUAUAAGUGAAAAGCAGACUUUUUUCAGAAUACUGACUGCUGCUUUGCUGAAUCAAGGAUAAUGCUC